rnacentral:tRNA from 1 species
GGAGAGGUGUCCGAGCGGUUUAAGGAGCACGCUUGGAAAGCGUGUGUAGGCUGAAACCUACCGAGGGUUCGAAUCCCUCCCUCUCCGCCA